rnacentral:lncRNA from 10 species
CGCCCGGCUAACAAAAUGUUUUCUUAAAGGCAAUAUUUGAAAAAAAGAAAAUACCUACACCUAAUGAGAACGUGAUCAUGACUCCAAUGGUGGCUAAAAAACAAAGGCUGCUGAUCAGCUAACUGAUGCAGUACUCAGGAAAGCUAUGAAAACCUAAGGAAGUGAGAAGCCCCAGGCCCAGCAUUCUUAAUUAUUUGGGAGUAAUAUUCACAUAUGUUAGGGGACAUUUCUGUAACUGGAAUGAAUACUCUUUAAUCUCCAAAGAGGUUUAAAUGCUUGGAAAUCUGCCACAGAAUCUCACUAUUUCUAAGAGACUAAUAAUCUGAGCAAUUCUGCACAAGAAAAACCUAGAGCCUCUAAAGAAGAAUUCCCAAGGGCUUUGCAAUUGUGGAAUUUAUUGCAAAUAAAAUAAUUUCAAUAGACUUUACAAAGGUAAAAGGACUGGGUUAUGACAUCCAGCAUUGUGACAUGGUAAAAGCAACAGACUUGAAAUCUGGCUCUGCCAUGCAUGGACCAGAAAACUCUGGACAAAUCCCUGAACUUCUCCUGGUUUCUCUCUUUUAUAAAAUGAAGGUCAUUUAGAAGGUUCAUUAAAUAGAGAAGGUAAAAGUUUGUUAUAAACUAUAAAGCACUUAGAAGAGCCCCUGGCAUAUUCUAAAUACUCACUAUUAUUAGCUCGACCUGGGAAAAGCAAAGCCUGCUUUAAAUAUGAAGCCCAUCUCAGAGGGGGAAAAAGUUCCCUGGAUAACAGCCAUGGUGUUGACACAACAGUGCCUGGCUCUGGCAAAAAUGCCUAUUACAUCAAAAAUUGAUAAACUAAAAUGUCAGCCCAUCUACCUCAACUCUUGACCAAUUCCAAGAAAAAGGAUUCUACACAGCAUUCUAUUUUGGCUUAAAUAAGUUGUCAGGCUGAGAGCUUUGAUCAAAGCUUGAUGCUAGCCAAUUUACUUACUUGCCUGACAUUAAGUCUAGUAUAAAUUCUUCUAACUAGACUCCUUGAAUUAAAUCUGGAAUACAGCUUACCAAUCUAAGUAGACAGGCCAAUUAAAGUAACAGUUUUAGAGAAAUGAUUCUUAAUAAGAGUAGGUUGGGGCCGGGCACAGUGGCUCACGCCUGUAAUCCCAGCACUUUGGGAGGCCGAGGUGGGCGGAUCACCUGAGGUCAGGAGUUCAAGACCACCCUGGCCAACAUGGUGAAACCCCGUCUCUAGUAAAAAUAACAAAAAUUAGCUGGGCAUGGUGGUGAGCAUCUGAAUCCCAGCUACUUGGGAGGCUGAGACAGGAGAACUGCUUUAACCCAGGAAGCGGAGGUUGCAGUGAGUGGAGAUUGCUCCA